UACGGAGGGGGCUAGCGUUUUUCGGAAUUACUGGGCGUAAAGCGCACGUAGGCGGAUUGUUAAGUCGGGGGUGAAAUCCCGGGGCUCAACCCCGGAAUGGCCUCCGAUACUGUCAAUCUUGAGGUCGGGAGAGGUGAGUGGAAUGGCGAGUGUAGAGGUGCAAUUGGUAGAUAUUCGCCGGAACACCAGUGGCGAAGGCGGCUCACUGGCCCGAUUCUGACGCUGAGGUGCCACAGCGUGGGGAGCAAACAGG
rnacentral:rRNA from 1 species